CACGUAGGGGACGAGCGUUGUCCGGAUUCAUUGGGCGUAAAGCGCGCGUAGGCGGCUCGGAAAGUCGGGCGUGAAAUGCCGGGGCUCAACCCCGGGACUGCGUCCGAUACUUCCGAGCUGGAGGUAGGUAGGGGAGAUCGGAAUUCCUGGUGUAGCGGUGAAAUGCGCAGGAUAAUCAGGAGGAACACCGGUGGCGAAGGGCGGGAU
rnacentral:rRNA from 1 species